GGAUGUGAGAAGGAUCUGACUGUGACACUGUUCACACAGCUGAUUGCCAGAUUCAUUCAGUUGAUCUGGCCAUCUAGAUGGUGUCUCCUUCCUCUCUCACUCUUCCAUGUGCAUCCCUCCCAGGCUCUGUCCAAGAGAAUGAUCUUCCCUGGCACUCCUUACRUGCCCCAGCAGAGCUAGGUGCUCCUGUACUCUGCGAAAUGGAAUAGGAUACAUUGCUGGACAGCAGCUGACCAAGGACAGAAAGGAAAGAGCAUGGUGCCCACUGGGUGCCAGAUGCUGU
rnacentral:sRNA from 1 species